CACCUGAGCAGGCAUGUGGGUCAUCCUGUCUCUUAACCAGGCAUGAGCUACAUUGUUCCUGUCUCUUAACCAGGCAUGAGAUACAUUGUUCCUGUCUCUUAACCAGGCAUGAGAUACAUUGUUCCUGUCUCUUAACCAGGUAUAGGUGGGGAAUGCUCAAAUGGCCCCUGAGAGAUGGGCAGUUCCAGAUACGGAAAAAGAAGGCUUUGACCAAAGCAGCAUGGUAUCUCUGAGGUAGUAGCUCUCCCCUGGGGAGUUUGAUGGAAGACACCUGCUGGCACAGUAAGGACUUUUGCAGUCUGACCAUUUGGAAUCAAGGCUCCAAGUGCUUCUCUUCAUUCAAAGAAUGCACCUCAUGUCACACAGAUACAAAAGUCCCUAAUGAUACAUCAAUGAAAAGAGCUGUUUGUCUUGACUCAGUUUCAAGGCUUACAGUCACCCCAGUGUCCAAGGCAGAAGCAAGUGCAUUUCUUUCUUUGCAAAGCAAAGAGCCUCUCCACACCUCUGCGGCGAGAUUAACAAGAAGCUGAAGCCAUUUCAGGUGUCUGGUGGAAAUCUAGUCUGCAGAUGUACGCUGCUUUUCAGCCAGCGGUGGUGCACGCCUUUUAUCCCAGCACUCCGGUGGCAGAAACAGGCUGAUCUCUGAGUUAAGACAAGGUCAAGUUCAAGACAGCCAGGGGUAAACAGAGAAACACUGACUCAAAUAAAUAACUGAUAACAAAAAUAAAAAUAAAGGGGGCUGGAGAGAUGGCUCAGUGACUGCUCUUCUAGAGGACCUGAGUUCAAUUCCCAGCAACCACAUGGUGGUUCACAACCAUCUAUAGUGGGAUCUGAUGCCCUCUGUUUUAUGUGUGUCUGAAGACAGCUACAAUGUGCUCAUAUAAAUAAAAAUAAUAAUAAAUCUUUUAAAAAAUAAAUAAAAUAAAAAUGUGUUUAAAAAGAAAAGAAAACUUA
rnacentral:lncRNA from 1 species